rnacentral:rRNA from 1 species
UGGCGUGGGGGGGGGGGCUUACACAUGCAAGUCGAACGAUGAAGCCGGAGCUUGCUCUGGUGGAUUAGUGGCGAACGGGUGAGUAACACGUGAGCAACCUGCCCUGGACUCUGGGAUAAGCGCUGGAAACGGCGUCUAAUACUGGAUACGAGACGUGGCCGCAUGGUCAACGUUUGGAAAGAUUUUUCGGUCUGGGAUGGGCUCGCGGCCUAUCAGCUUGUUGGUGAGGUAAUGGCUCACCAAGGCGUCGACGGGUAGCCGGCCUGAGAGGGUGACCGGCCACACUGGGACUGAGACACGGCCCAGACUCCUACGGGAGGCAGCAGUGGGGAAUAUUGCACAAUGGGCGGAAGCCUGAUGCAGCAACGCCGCGUGAGGGAUGACGGCCUUCGGGUUGUAAACCUCUUUUAGCAGGGAAGAAGCGAAAGUGACGGUACCUGCAGAAAAAGCGCCGGCUAACUACGUGCCAGCAGCCGCGGUAAUACGUAGGGCGCAAGCGUUAUCCGGAAUUAUUGGGCGUAAAGAGCUCGUAGGCGGUUUGUCGCGUCUGCUGUGAAAUCCCGAGGCUCAACCUCGGGCCUGCAGUGGGUACGGGCAGACUAGAGUGCGGUAGGGGAGAUUGGAAUUCCUGGUGUAGCGGUGGAAUGCGCAGAUAUCAGGAGGAACACCGAUGGCGAAGGCAGAUCUCUGGGCCGUAACUGACGCUGAGGAGCGAAAGGGUGGGGAGCAAACAGGCUUAGAUACCCUGGUAGUCCACCCCGUAAACGUUGGGAACUAGUUGUGGGGUCCUUUCCACGGAUUCCGUGACGCAGCUAACGCAUUAAGUUCCCCGCCUGGGGAGUACGGCCGCAAGGCUAAAACUCAAAGGAAUUGACGGGGACCCGCACAAGCGGCGGAGCAUGCGGAUUAAUUCGAUGCAACGCGAAGAACCUUACCAAGGCUUGACAUACACGAGAACGGGCCAGAAAUGGUCAACUCUUUGGACACUCGUGAACAGGUG